GCUACGGUGGUCUAGCGGUUAGAACGCUGGCCUUAUAAUCCUGGGGGCUCGGGUUCGAUUCCCGGUGGUGCCC
rnacentral:tRNA from 1 species